rnacentral:rRNA from 1 species
UUAAUAAGCGGAGNAAAAGAAACCAACCGGGAUUCCCACAGUAACGGCGAGUGAAGUGGGACGAGCCCAGCACCGAAUCGCACGCCGUCGGGCGUCGCGAACUGUGGUGUUUAGGACGAGCGCUUGCGCGUCGGUACGACGUCCGAGUCCUCCUGAUCGGGGCUUGCCAGAGCGGGUGUCAGCCCUCUACGGCGACGGACCGGCGCGCCCGCCACGUCCUCGGAGUCGGGUUGUUUGAGAAUGCAGCCCAAAGUUGGUGGUAAACUCCAUCUAAGGCUAAAUACGGUCGCGAGUCCGAUAGCGAACAAGUACCGUGAGGGAAAGUU